UUCAUCGUGUGGCUGCUUCUUUGUUCUUCUUCAAGGAAAGUACUGUAACGGUAAGAAACACGAAUUGUCGUUUCAUCGAAACCUUUUAUGAAUCAAUGUUGGGUCCUUCAAUCAUCUGCAACAUCAAAGUUUUGAUCAGAAACCGAAAGAUACACCUUUUGCAACGCUCGAUUUUCUCUUUGAUUAUUCAUGGACACAAGGAUAGAUUCGAAGUUCACAAAGACCAUAUUGUUUAAGUAGAUUCUUAUAUAUAUAGAAGCUUUCUUCAGCAGUAGUGCACUACUGUAAUAUAGAGAAGCUAUACUUCCAAGGGUUUUUUGAAGUUGACCUGUUCAACCACAGUGUUGUCCAUAUUGUUGAAUGUAUGCUCUAAAGUAAGUUCAAACUUUCUUGAAUAAUGCUUGUAAAGAUUGUUCUUGUUGAGCCAGCAUUGUGGGGCUAUAUAGUUAUGGAGACUAUGCCAUCAGAUGAGUCUUGAGAGAAAAUGAUACUAGCAGCAUUCAUGGCAGCAUUGUGGGGCUAUAUAGUUAUUGUGCUCUAUUGUUGUAUCCAUUCAAGACUAGAAGUUAAGGUAGUAUUCUGCUCUAGUUUGAUUAGAAUGGAUGUAAUGAUGUACAGCGACUGGACCAGAUAUCAAGUGUUGAAGAAGCAGAGUGUUGUGUAGGGCUUAUGAUUCGGCUACUGAAGUUUAUAUGGCUUCUUUUGACCGUUCCAAGCCACCUGGGGAAGUUGCUUUGAGGGAAGCUCAUGAACAAGCAGUUCAAAAGGCAAUGGCUGCUUUUAAUGCUAGUGCCGUAGGAGUUGGUACAACUAGGAAGAUAUAUGACGGCCUACUUCAGAAAUUCCUCAAAAAGGCUUUUGAGGAUUACAAAAGGAAUGCAUUCACGGAGGCAGAUGUAAAUUGGAAAUCUCAAUUUUACCUGUUGUAUUUUAAUGUCUUCUUUUUGGCUUCUAUUUUUCAAAGACAAACCUCCCCUGUUUAUUGAAGUUCCCCCUUCUGCACAUAUUUUUCUUAAUAGUAUGCCAGUUCAUUGAUCUGUAUUAUUUCUCAAUGACCUUCGAGGAAAAUGCAUAUUGAACUCUAUUCAUAAUGCAAAAGUUGGAUGAUGGCCUUCGAUGCAAUUUUCAUACUAUAUUGUAAUCAUAUGAUUUAAGGGAUGGUAAUGGUAUCUAUUUUCCUUUUAUGACCCUAAUUGUGAAACUGUCAGCUGAGAUGAAAUAUUUUUUCAUUAUCUAUGAACGGUGGCGUGGUAUACAUGAGCCCUCCAUGACCCAAAAACGUUGGAUGAUGCCUUAAUGCGAAAGCUAGUUGUUGCCCAAUUUGCAACAACAAUAUACAGUGAGUGAUUUUGCAAAUGCAAAAUGCAAUGUGACUUGUGUUGGAUUAGCCUACUGGGUAACAGUUUCAAAGGAAUUCUCUAAGGAAGAAACGAAUCAACUGAAGCGAGAUAACAAAGAAACGGACUCAACUGAACUAUUUCUUAUAUAUGGCUUUAUGGCUUUAUGCUGACCACCUAUAUAAGGAUGCUUGCAUCAUUGCAUCGUGUGAUCGAUGAAGGAAACCACAACGAGGUUGUAUCGGUCCAUAUUUUUACUGUAGACCUUUUAUGAAAAUCUGAUAAAAUUUGAUGGGUGUUGGUAUAAGAAUCAAAUAGCACUAGAUUUGUGUUGAUAAUUAUAAAAUGCAAGUCUUUGAUUUAGUAAUUGAAUAUAUGUGAUCUCUUAUAGGCUGGGUACAAAAUUGUUGUUCAUGAAUUGAAUCACUUGAUCCUAUAGUGGGUACACCCUCUUGAUUUUGCAGCAGACAAACUUGCUGCGAUGACCGAUGACAAUUCUUUCGGAAUGUAGCAGGUGUUUCUUGCAUAAGUACUGUGACUUUUGUGGCCAGACACUGAGGAUUGGCAUACAAGUGGACAUUGGCAUACAUAGGAUUGGUGUUCGUGGCAGAAUGUCAUCCUUUCUUUAUAGUUGAAUACGCACUCUGUCCCAAGACCCUACUCAGCACCGAUGUUUUGAAACUGAAAGAUACUAUUUGUUUUGGUUUGAUACGAUGCAAAGUGGAGUGUGCUUGUGUUGGAUUAGCUUACUUGUUAUGUUUCUGGUAGGUACUUUAUAUGUCCUUGUAGGCCAAAUUGGUAUUUGGAGAAGAUCCUGAAAGGCACUAUUAGCAAAGUUAUAAAAGUAGAAUGAGAUGAGACCUAGUGAAGAAAAGGAAGGAUAAAUCUAACCUCCUAUCUUGUAACAAAUUAGCUCGUUUCCUUUCCCUUGAUCGGCAUAAUGAGGUUUGUGAGUGACUUGAUUCUCUAUUUGAAAGGACGAAGUUCAAUUAUCAUGGUCAACAGGGGAAUUCAUGUGUAGAAGGUUCUUUUUCUUCAAGAAAAGAAUGAAACACGCAUUGUCGUUUCUUGAUCGAACUUUUACGAAUCAACGUUGGAUCCUUCAAUCAUCUGCAACAUCUAAGUUUUGAUCAAGAAAAUGAAACAUAUUCCUUUUACGUUUGCUACGGUACUUUAUAUGUCCUUGUAGGCCCAAUUGGUAUUUGGAGAAGAUCCUGAAAGGCAAAGUAGAAUGAGAUGAGACAUAGUGAAGAAAGGAAAGGAUAACUCUAACCUCCUAUCUUCUAACAACUUAGCUUGUUUCCUUUCCCUUAAUCUGCAUAAUCAGGUUUGUGUUUGCAGCUUUUAGAAGGGGGUUAUAAGAAUUAACACCUCAUACUUUAAUUGCUUUAUGCUCUGAUAAUACUAGAAACGAAUCAUUCCAAGAAUGACAAGUUGUUUAGAUCAUUAUAAAAGUAUAUGGAUAGUUAGUUAACAAAAUCAGAGGUGAUGAUGCAAGAUGGCUUAGAAUUUCAAGACCUAAACCUUCAGAUUUUGUGUCCUUUAGUAUACAAACAUUUUCUGCAUAAUUAUGUAGAAAUCAUAUUUAAAUGAGUGUUAGCAAUCUUGGUAUCCAACAGAUCAAUUGGAGAUGAAAUAAGGUCGUAGUGGUACAUACUUUACCUUAAAAUAAACUGAUAAUACUAACUAAAACUAGUAUAUGCGUAUUUGAGGCUUCAUUAAAAAAGGAAUGAAUGGUAUCUAUUGU